ensembl:lncRNA
AACUUGAAUUGGAGGAACUGAUAAGAGAAUGGAGAAGACUCAUUUUGGUGGUUGGCACAGAUGCAAUGAGACAUCACAUUUCAUACCUGCAUAUGUAGAUGGGUGAUGUUUAUCAGUCUAGCAGUAGACACAGACAUUUACAUUAAUUGUAAAUGUCUCACUGCUCUGUUUGAAAACAGCAUUUUGUCUCCGACUGUGAAAGGAUGAAGUGCAUUGUGAUCUUUCUCGUGUUGUCUGUGGUCAUUCUCAUGCCUGAACCUGCUGAUGGUUCUGAUGGAGGGGAAAGGAAAUUCAUCGUGCCUGGUUGCGAGAAGUAUUACGAGAAUCGUCGCCGUCGCUACCAAGAAGAGUUGAAGCAGAAGCAGCCGGGGCAGCAGUGGCUUGUAAAACGUGGUUGCUUCUUUAUGCUUGGCUGAAUCUGUGUUUUGGAUGACAUGAGAUUCUUGUGCUUCAACAUAAGAAAGAAAAGUAUCUAUUAAGUGUGACAACCACUUCUUGACAACACAAAUGUCUUGGUUUAAUAAACUGCUGAAUUUUGAUCAAAUUUGGUGGAUGGUCAGUUGUUCAGAAUAAAUACACAUUGCAACUCUUAGAAACCAACAAUGUAGCCUGCUAUGACUCUGUAGACAUUUAGAUAUGGUUUUACAUCAAAAAAACAAUUUGUACUAUAAAUACGGACAUCGCAAAUGUAGUAUUUCUUCAGCCAAGUAGAACUACAGCUUUUCUCUAGAAAAAGACACCUGCAAAAAUAAAACAACAUCUGAAAUCAUAUUUCAAACAUAGCAAUAUACUCUCCAAGAAUAAAUUAUGCUUUUCCCAGAAAUAAACUAGAUAUUAUAUCUAGUUUAUUUCUGGGAAAAGCAUAAUUUAUUCUUGGAGAGUAAUUAUUUCAAAUACCCAGGUCAUAAUCUAGUAUAUGAAUACUGUACACAAUGCAAAAAACAAUAACACAGGUUAGCAUCAGGAUAUUAUGACAUGGGUAGCGGAAAUCAUUAGAAAAUUAACUACUGUAGAUGAAUAUGAGUUAAAUACUUUAACAAUUACAAAUUUCAUUUAAACAACUGAAAGGAAGAGUCAUUAUUUUAAAACAUAAAUGGUAUUCUUAGAAAAGUAGUUUGCAUCACUGAGGACCCUUCACACCCCCUUUACCACUGGUUUUAUUUACUCCCGUCAGGCAGCUGUUUCAGAGAAACUCUGGCCAAAAGGAAAACUUACAUGAACUCUUUUAUUCCCACUGCAAUGUGCAUUUUAAAGAAGGCAACAUAGACACUACUCUUUUAAUGUAGCUUAGAAUGUACAAGUACUUAUAUUAAGGGAAAUUUUGCAUGACUUUAUGCGAGUCUCAUGGGUUUGAAUGUUUUUUUUUAUGGUGUGAAGGGUGCUCAGUGAUGCAAACUGCAUUUCUAAGAGUACCAUUUAUGUUCAAAGUAAACGUAAUUGUAAAUUGUAAUUGUUAAAGUGUUUAACUAAUAUUCCUCUACGGUAAUUAAUUUUCAAAUGAUUACCGCUACCCAUGUUAUAUUAUCCUGAUGCUGUUAUUGUUUUUUGCAUUGCAUAUAGUAUUCUUAUACUGGAUUAUGACCUGUUGUAUUUAACAUAAUGACUCCCCUAGAUUAUAUUACUCUUUUCCCAGAAACAAACUAGAUAUCAUACUGCUAUGUUUGAAGUAGGAUUUCAGAUGUUGUUUUAUUUUUGCAGGUGACUUUUUCUAGAGAAAAUCAGUGGUUCUACCUAGCUAAAGAAAUUCAAAAUUUGGGUUACUUAAUUUAUAGUACCAAUUGUUUUUUAGUUUUUAGUUUUUUUAAUGUAAAACCAUAAAUCGAUGUCUGCAAAGUCAUAGCAGGGUAGAAUGUUUUUCUAAAUUAAAAAUACAUAAAUAUUUGUGUGGUUAUCUUUCUUGGGCUGUUAUUGUGACCGCUCAUGUUUCUCUUAUUUGAUUGUCCUAUUCUUAAUUUCUCUGAUAAAUAAAACAACAGAAAAAGUUUUGUUGCAAUGUGUAUUUAUUCUGAACAACUGACCAUCCACCAAAUUUGAUCAAAAUUCUGCAAUGUAUUAAACCAAGACAUUUGUAUUGUCAUGAAGUGGUUUUCACACUUAACAGACAAUUUUCUUUCUUAUGUUGAAGCGCCAGAAGCAUCUUAUUUCAUCCAAAACAUAGUUUCAGCCAAGUCGAAGGAAGCAAGCACGUUUUACAAGCCACUGCUGCCCUGGAUGCUCCUGCUUCAACUCCUCUUGGCGCCUAAAUAGCUCCCUGGUGGAGGUAGAGAAAAUAGUGUGAUAGUGUUUUAUUUGUGUUAUCAUAUAUAAGAAAUACAGACAUGAUGUUAUAUCACAUUGAGUGUCACAAUUACAUACAUGUUACUUUAACUUUGAAAUCUUUUGUAAACUAGUCAUUGAAUAAUUGUAAAAAAUAAAAAACAAAUAAAAGAAACAGGUCCUUACUCGUAAUACUUCUCGCAACCUAAAUAAAACAGAAGAGAGGAAAACAACCGUGUUAAAUCGAAACUCUUAAUAUCAUACAUCAGAAAAAACCUCUGUUGUACAUAUCAGUCAGCAGAGUUAUAGAAUUUUGAAGACAUUAGUCACUUGUUCAGUAAUACACAUUGAUUUAUGAUACAUUCAUAAAUAGUUCAUUUUAAUAUUAAUCACAAAUGCUCUGAUGUGCUGUUGCUGAAAAUAAAUGAUUUUCCUCUGUUACAGUAAACUGACUGUUGCUGCUGCAUUUGAUUGUGAACCACUUUUUGCAGUUACAUGAGCCAUGUUUUUAAGUGCCAGUAAUGGGCCAAAAGAUUCCAGUGUAACAGGCAUGAUGAAUUUCCUUUGCCCUCCAUCAGAACCAUCAGCAGGUUCAGCCAUGAGAAUGACCACAGACAGCACAAGAAAGACCACAAUGCACUUCAUCCUACAAAAAGAAAAAUAAAUGCAAAUGUCAAAUGUAGCAGUUGUUUGUGUGUUAGAGGAACUUAAAAUUGUUAAAUGAGGUUGAAUUAGAAUUCCCUUCUUACCUUUCACGCUCAGAGACAAAAUGCUGCUUUCAAACAGAGCAGUGAGACGUUACAGUUAAUGUAAAUGUCUGUGUCUACUGUUAGACUGAUAAACAUCACCCAUCUAUAUAUGCAGGUAUGAAAUGUGAUGUCUCAUUGCAUCUUAGGAAAUCACCAAAACAGGAGUCAUCUCCAUUCUCUUAUCAUUUCAUCCAGUUCAAGUUGUCAGUGAAGCCAAAGUUACUUAGUGAUUUGGCUUGAAAAUAAGAAAAACAUUUCAUUUAGAAAGAACUUAGCUGACAGCUGAUUUAACUAUAAGGAUUUGCUUCUUUUUUCUGUUUUGUAUCCUGAUCGCGUUGGAGGGACAGUGGUUCCAGUCCCAGUAUUUAAUAACAUGCAUUUAGAGCCAUUAGUAAUUACAAAACCAAUUUCAUCAAAAAUGACAAAACUCUUACACUUGAAUAUGAUCAACAUAAUAACAAUAAUAUCUCUCCAUAUUUCUCCAGUUGAAAUAACCAUUGUUGCAUCAGCAGCAGACACUUAAUGUAAUUUCUUCCAGACAAAAUUAAAACUCUUGGUUUAAAUACCAAUAAUGGAUAUUUCUCUCCCUCUCUUGGGGUCGACAGAGAAACAUCUAGCGGCUGCUUCUCCCGAGUUUUCCUCUGCAUAUUUUACGACAGAAAGUUUGAAUUUGAAGUUGUGCUUUUUAUUUUUUACUGCACCGGAGCCAUGCCGAUCAUCAGUGUGAUACUGACUGACAGAAAGCAGCACAGCACGUGAAAAAGGCGAAGAAGAAAUGACGUGCAGUGUCAGUGGUCACGUCUCCUUCUUUAAUAGAAAAUAAUAAUAACAAUUAGACCCGACAUUUAUUUGGAACCGGCGGUUAUUUAUCAAAAUAUACACCUGAAUCCGGCGUUUAAAGUCACCUGACGUUUUCACGAGCAGGAUGCUUCCAUUGAAAAUCCAUUAGAGGGCACCGGCAAGUCACAGUCCGCAGCCACGCAGUAAUGGCGGCAGGCAAGAUGGCGGCGCCCAUAGAUUUCGCCCCGGAUUUGUGUAUAAAUGUGAGAAUGAAAUUUAGGAACUGUUAUUGGACCAACCUGCUGUCAAUCUUGCAUUCUGGUUGCUGAUUGGUAAGGGAGGACGUCCUCCCUUAGCGCGUCAUUUUACGUGUCUUAGCCAAUCAUAGAUCAGCAUGAAAAAAUCCUUAAUGCACUGAGUGAAUGGAAGGAGAUCCCUCCCACGGAGGACAGAAGCCCUCCGUCCUCCUCUAGCCCCCACCUUCCUUCUCCCUGCUCCUCUCAGGGGCCGUCCACACAGGUGAAAACGAUCUUUUUUUUCUCCGUCUUCCUCGUCAUCGUUUUAAGAAUAUUUGCGUCCACACGUCUUCACUGAAAACGACCGAAAACGCUGUAGUUCAUAUUCCAGGCCAAUAGGUGGCGCUUGACAUUCACCAAACAAGGAGAAGAAGACACGGAGCAUGCGCAUCAAGCUUGCGCGCUGUAAACAGACAGUAGACGGAGAAGCCGAACACAUCAAGAAGAAGAUGAAAAUGGCUAGUGCAAGGAAACCAGA